GAUAAUAACAGGAACAGGAUAAGCAGCUGGACUUUGUCUCCUGUGGACGCUUCAAGGGAACGGAACGGCAGAAACAGAGAGGGGCUGAGCCCUGCUGGCAUAAAAGACAAAGAGACCACAUAGUUCUCAUUCUCGGGGCCAAGGAGACUCCCUCCCAGACUAUGCAUGUGCAGAAAGGUUAAAGGGAGGGGGCGCCAGACCAUAAUAUGUUCUGUUAACCUCUCAGAGACCCUUGCGCUGGAAUCCAUCUUGGCUAAAAGAUGCGUGUGCACACAGGGGAGGGCCCUGAGUCAGACCAGAUAUGGACUCAGAGCCAGACAAAGCAAGCUGACUGGCCAGAGGAAACCUAGAAGAACUUCCCCCAUAUGGUUUAAACCACCCCCAAAAGCACACGCCUCUCUCUCUCUCUCUCAGCCUGCCUUGUACUUUCUAUUCUUCUCUCCUAAUAAACACUUUACUUGCCUCAAUACUUUUCAUCUCUUUGCUGAUUCUUUCUUCAAAGCAGAUGAGAGCCAGGGCCCUGCUCCUAGCCAAUAGUCCCUGGUGGUCUAGUGGUUAGAAUUCGGUGCUUUCACUGCUGUGGUCCGGGUUCAAUUCCCAGGGAACUGAGAUCCCACUUCAAGCUGCCGCUCACUGUGGUCACUCACAGCCACCUGAGAUCAGGUUUUCAGGCCUUUAGACUCAGACUGAAUCACACACCAGCUUUCCUGGUUCCCAGCUUGCAGAUGGCAGACUAUGGGACUUCUUGGCUUCCGUCACUAUCACCCACAGAAUGAGGUCACCAAUGGAGGGAGAGGAGAAUGAAAAGAGAACCAAGGUCCGAGGCCAGAGGGCGGCUACUUUUGUUGAGGUGGGCACAUAGGCUAUUUAUUUCUAAGGGAUGCCUCAGAGAGAGACUUUAGUGCUGCAACCGUCCACUUUCAGGGGGUGCCUGUGUAUCAUGUAGAACCCCCCAUAAACCAGGCCUGAGUGUUCUCUUCCUCUAUCAACUGAUCAUAGGAAACUCCCCGUGAAGCCACAGGUGAACAUGAGUGUACAACUGUCUGUUUGAGUCCCUGCUUUAAAUUCUUUUGUUUAUAU